UACGUAGGGUGCGAGCGUUAAUCGGAAUUACUGGGCGUAAAGCGUGCGCAGGCGGCCGUGCAAGACAGGUGUGAAAUCCCCGGGCUCAACCUGGGAACUGCACUUGUGACUGCACGGCUGGAGUGCGGCAGAGGGGGAUGGAAUUCCGCGUGUAGCAGUGAAAUGCGUAGAUAUGCGGAGGAACACCGAUGGCGAAGGCAGUCCCCUGGGCCUGUACUGACGCUCAUGCACGAAAGCGUGGGGAGCAAAC
rnacentral:rRNA from 1 species